rnacentral:rRNA from 1 species
AUGACUAAAUUUCUUUCUAUAGCUACUGUCAUGGCUUUUCUUCUCAGCCAUGGAAUCGACAUGGCCACAGCUUCAACAGUUUGGCGUGAGCAGGAUUUCUUCAGACACUGCCCAUGGUUCCGGUGCAGCAAAAAUGGACCUGAGAUCCGGUUUCCGCUCCAACUUGAAUCCAGCAAUUCAUCAUCUGGAGCAAAGAUAGAAUACUCUGGCGAAGACACUGUCCUACUUCACCCACUUCUUGGCCCAUUCAAUGUCACUGCCAGAGACUAUAGCUUAUCGUCACCCCGCUUGUGCAACCGUGCCAUAAAGUUCAGAAGUUCAUCUCGCGGAGUCUACCAGCUAACUCCAACCAUCAGUGUAGUCUCUAUAUGGUGA